rnacentral:rRNA from 1 species
AUUGAACGCUGGCGGUAUGCUUAACACAUGCAAGUCGAACGAUGAGAAAGAGCUUGCUCUUUCGAUUAGUGGCGGACGGGUGCGUAACGCGUAGGAAUCUACCUAUUAGUGGGGGACAACUUAGGGAAACUUAAGCUAAUACCGCAUACGCCCUACGGGGGAAAGAAGGGGAUCGCAAGACCUUUUGAUAAUAGAUGAGCCUGCGUAGGAGUAGCUAGUUGGUGGGGUAAAAGCUCACCAAGGCGACGAUCCUUAACUGGUUUGAGAGAAUGAUCAGUCACACUGGAACUGAGACACGGUCCAGACUCCUACGGGAGGCAGCAGUGGGGAAUAUUGGACAAUGGGCGAAAGCCUGAUCCAGCAAUACCGCGUGUGUGAAGAAGGCCUUAGGGUUGUAAAGCACUUUCAAUUGGAAGGAAAACCUCGAAGCUAAUACCUUCGAGUUUGACAUUACCUUUAGAAGAAGCACCGGCUAACUCCGUGCCAGCCGCCGCCGUAAGAC